GGGCAGUCGCUUUAACGCCACACACGCAUCGGCACCGCCUUCGGGGUGCCUUGCCCCGCCGUCGACGAGCGAAAGGCUCCGCGGCACGGGCAGGGUCGAAGCCGGGGAUGCGUGGAGGUCCCAAC
rnacentral:sRNA from 1 species